rnacentral:rRNA from 1 species
UACGGAGGGUGCGAGCGUUGUCCGGAAUCACUGGGCGUAAAGGGCGCGUAGGUGGCGCCGCAAGUCAACGGUGAAAGCUCGACGCUUAACGUCGAGUCGGCCGUCGAGACUGCGGGGCUCGAGCACUGUAGAGGCUCAUGGAAUUCCGGGUGUAGCGGUGGAAUGCGUAGAGAUCCGGAAGAACACCGGUGGCGAAGGCGGUGAGCUGGGCAGUUGCUGACACUGAGGCGCGACAGCGUGGGGAGCAAACAGGG